AGCGAACGCUGGCGGCAGGCCUAACACAUGCAAGUCGAACGGAUCCUUCGGGAUUAGUGGCGGACGGGUGAGUAACACGUGGGAACGUGCCUUUUGGUUCGGAACAACUCAGGGAAACUUGAGCUAAUACCGGAUGUGCCCUUCGGGGGAAAGAUUUAUCGCCAUUAGAGCGGCCCGCGUCUGAUUAGCUUGUUGGUGAGGUAAAGGCUCACCAAGACUACGAUCAGUAGCUGGUCUGAGAGGAUGAACAGCCACACUGGGACUGAGACACGGCCCAGACUACUACGGGAGGCAGCAGUGGGGAAUCUUGCGCAAUGGGCGAAAGCCUGACGCAGCCAUGCCGCGUGAAUGAUGAAGGUCUUAGGAUUGUAAAAUUCUUUCACCGGGGACGAUAAUGACGGUACCCGGAGAAGAAGCUCCGGCUAACUUCGUGCCAGCCGCCGCAGUAACAC
rnacentral:rRNA from 1 species